rnacentral:rRNA from 1 species
GAUGAACGCUAGCUACAGGCUUAACACAUGCAAGUCGAGGGGAAACGACAUCGAAAGCUUGCUUUUGAUGGGCGUCGACCGGCGCACGGGUGAGUAACGCGUAUCCAACCUGCCCAUCACUUGGGAAUAACCUUGCGAAAGUAAGACUAAUACCCAAUGACAUCCCACGAAGACAUCUGAAUGGGAUUAAAGAUUUAUCGGUGAUGGAUGGGGAUGCGUCUGAUUAGCUUGUUGGCGGGGUAACGGCCCACCAAGGCAACGAUCAGUAGGGGUUCUGAGAGGAAGGUCCCCCACAUGGGAACUGAGACACGGUCCAAACUCCUACGGGAGGGAGCAGUGAGGAAUAUUGGUCAAUGGGCGAGAGCCUGAACCAGCCAAGUAGCGUGCAGGAUGACGGCCCUAUGGGUUGUAAACUGCCUUUAGAAGGGAAUAAAGUGGGUCUCGUGAGACUUUUUGCAUGUACCUUAUGAAUAAGGACCGGCUAAUUCCGUG